UCUUUGCCUUCAAUGCUAGAUAUAAAUGAUGCCAACUUUUCUGACAAUCUGUCUGACUGUGCGAAUGACCAAGAAGAGUUUGUAUCUUCGUGCUCGAUGCCCGUCUCUCCACUGGGAUUGAUAGCUACCAGGUUUCUAGAAGAGGAGGAGCUGAGGUCUCACCACAUUCUAGAGCGCCUGGACGCCCACAUUGAAGAACUGAAAAGAGAGAGUGAGAAGACGGUGAGGCAGUUCACAGCCCUCGUGUAGUGCUGAGCAGCCACACACAGAAGACUGGUUCUAAAGAUCUAAGAGCAAUGGCUGCAAGAGCAGCACUGAGGAAUCUGCAGAUCGGGCACUUAGGUAUUUUCACUGGCUCAUUUGAAGGACUGCUUCCAGUAGUAACCUGUGAGAAUAAACUACCUUGCAGACUUUCUCACAUGAAUAUUUAUUACCACAGAGCAAUACCUUUUCUUCCUGACUUACAUGUGAAUAGCUGUGUACUAAUUAAAAUAAAGAUUUUGCUAUACUGUUUG
rnacentral:lncRNA from 1 species